rnacentral:tRNA from 1 species
AGGAGUGGCAGAGUGGUCGAAUGCACCGGUCUUGAAAACCGGCGUACCGAGAGGUACCGGGGGUUCGAAUCCCUCCUCCUC